AGAGUUUGAUCCUGGCUCAGGACGAACGCUGGCGGCGUGCCUAAUACAUGCAAGUCGAGCGAGUCUGCCUUGAAGAUCGGAGUGCUUGCACUCUGUGAAACAAGAUACAGGCUAGCGGCGGACGGGUGAGUAACACGUGGGUAACCUGCCCAAGAGAUCGGGAUAACACCUGGAAACAGAUGCUAAUACCGGAUAACAACAGAUGAUGCCUAUCAACUGUUUAAAAGAUGGUUCUGCUAUCACUCUUGGAUGGACCUGCGGUGCAUUAGCUAGUUGGUAGGGUAACGGCCUACCAAGGCGAUGAUGCAUAGCCGAGUUGAGAGACUGAUCGGCCACAUUGGGACUGAGACACGGCCCAAACUCCUACGGGAGGCAGCAGUAGGGAAUCUUCCACAAUGGACGCAAGUCUGAUGGAGCAACGCCGCGUGAGUGAAGAAGGGUUUCGGCUCGUAAAGCUCUGUUGUUGGUGAAGAAGGACAGGGGUAGUAACUGACCUUUGUUUGACGGUAAUCAAUUAGAAAGUCACGGCUAACUACGUGCCAGCAGCCGCGGUAAUACGUAGGUGGCAAGCGUUGUCCGGAUUUAUUGGGCGUAAAGCGAGUGCAGGCGGCUCGAUAAGUCUGAUGUGAAAGCCUUCGGCUCAACCGGAGAAUUGCAUCAGAAACUGUCGAGCUUGAGUACAGAAGAGGAGAGUGGAACUCCAUGUGUAGCGGUGGAAUGCGUAGAUAUAUGGAAGAACACCAGUGGCGAAGGCGGCUCUCUGGUCUGCAACUGACGCUGAGGCUCGAAAGCAUGGGUAGCGAACAGGAUUAGAUACCCUGGUAGUCCAUGCCGUAAACGAUGAGUGCUAAGUGUUGGGAGGUUUCCGCCUCUCAGUGCUGCAGCUAACGCAUUAAGCACUCCGCCUGGGGAGUACGACCGCAAGGUUGAAACUCAAAGGAAUUGACGGGGGCCCGCACAAGCGGCGGAGCAUGCGGAUUAAUUCGAUGCAACGCGAAGAACCUUACCUGGGCUUGACAUGUUCCCGACAGCCCCAGAGAUGGGGCCUCCCUUCGGGGCGGGUUCACAGGUGGUGCAUGGUCGUCGUCAGCUCGUGUCGUGAGAUGUUGGGUUAAGUCCCGCAACGAGCGCAACCCUCGCCCUGUGUUGCCAGCACGUCAUGGUGGGAACUCACGGGGGACCGCCGGGGUCAACUCGGAGGAAGGUGGGGAUGACGUCAGAUCAUCAUGCCCCUUACGUCCAGGGCUUCACGCAUGCUACAAUGGCCGGUACAACGGGAUGCGACACGGCGACGUGGAGCGGAUCCCUGAAAACCGGUCUCAGUUCGGAUUGGAGUCUGCAACCCGACUCCAUGAAGGCGGAGUCGCUAGUAAUCGCGGAUCAGCAACGCCGCGGUGAAUGCGUUCCCGGGCCUUGUACACACCGCCCGUCACACCAUGGGAGUGGGUUGCAAA
rnacentral:rRNA from 1 species